CAUGCGCAGCUACACAUGCAAGUCGAGCGGAACGAGUUAUCUGAACCUUCGGGGAACGAUAACGGCGUCGAGCGGCGGACGGGUGAGUAAUGCCUAGGAAAUUGCCCUGAUGUGGGGGAUAACCAUUGGAAACGAUGGCUAAUACCGCAUGAUGCCUACGGGCCAAAGAGGGGGACCUUCGGGCCUCUCGCGUCAGGAUAUGCCUAGGUGGGAUUAGCUAGUUGGUGAGGUAAGGGCUCACCAAGGCGACGAUCCCUAGCUGGUCUGAGAGGAUGAUCAGCCACACUGGAACUGAGACACGGUCCAGACUCCUACGGGAGGCAGCAGUGGGGAAUAUUGCACAAUGGGCGCAAGCCUGAUGCAGCCAUGCCGCGUGUAUGAAGAAGGCCUUCGGGUUGUAAAGUACUUUCAGUCGUGAGGAAGGCGGUGUCGUUAAUAGCGGCUUCGUUUGACGUUAGCGACAGAAGAAGCACCGGCUAACUCCGUGCCAGCAGCCGCGGUAAUACGGAGGGUGCGAGCGUUAAUCGGAAUUACUGGGCGUAAAGCGCAUGCAGGUGGUUUGUUAAGUCAGAUGUGAAAGCCCGGGGCUCAACCUCGGAAUAGCAUUUG
rnacentral:rRNA from 1 species